GGCUCCACCGCCAUCUACUCUCUCUUGUUUGUUGCUCCGCCAUCCAUUCCCAAUCAAGUGCGAGUUGCUACCUAAGAAGUUGCACUUGGUGAAAUCAAGGAGGAGAUCAAGAAAACUAGGGAUGAGAAGAAGGCCAAGAAAGCAAAAUUGAUAGCUUAAACACAGAAGACACAUGGCAAGGGUAAUGCUCCCAAAGGUGCUGCUCCAGAAGGGCCCCAAAUUGGAUGGUGG
rnacentral:lncRNA from 1 species